rnacentral:rRNA from 1 species
CCUACGGGAGGCAGCAGUGGGGAAUAUUGGACAAUGGGCGCAAGCCUGAUCCAGCAAUGCCGCGUGAGUGAUGAAGGCCUUAGGGUCGUAAAGCUCUUUUACCAGGGAUGAUAAUGACAGUACCUGGAGAAUAAGCUCCGGCUAACUCCGUGCCAGCAGCCGCGGUAAUACGGAGGGAGCUAGCGUUGUUCGGAAUUACUGGGCGUAAAGCGUACGUAGGCGGUUAUUCAAGUCAGAGGUGAAAGCCCGGGGCUCAACCCCGGAACGGCCUUUGAAACUAGGUAGCUAGAAUCUUGGAGAGGUCAGUGGAAUUCCGAGUGUAGAGGUGAAAUUCGUAGAUAUUCGGAAGAACACCAGUGGCGAAGGCGACUGACUGGACAAGUAUUGACGCUGAGGUACGAAAGCGUGGGGAGCAAACAGGAUUAGAUACCCUGGUAGUCCACGCCGUAAACGAUGAUAACUAGCUGUUCGGGCACUUGGUGCUUGAGUGGCGCAGCUAACGCAUUAAGUUAUCCGCCUGGGGAGUACGGUCGCAAGAUUAAAACCUUAAAUGAAUUGACGG